rnacentral:rRNA from 1 species
AUUUAUUAGCGGUAGCGGAGUAUUCUCAGAUAGAUACGAGGUGUACCGUAAGGAGCGCUGAUGGAUCUGAGAAGAGCUUAUGCAGGCAUGAGUAGCGAUAAACAGAGUGAGAAACUCUGUCGCCGUAAGCCCAAGGUUUCCUGGGGAAGGAUAAUCCUCCCAUGGGUUAGUCGGAACCUAAGCUGAGCCCGAAAGGGGUAGGCGAUGGCAAGCUGGUUAAUAUUCCAGCACCACCAAUGACGACGUUGAACUAAGCAGGGACGGAGAAGGAUAGGC